rnacentral:rRNA from 1 species
UACAGAGGUGCCAAGCGUUAGGCGGAAUCACUGGGCUUAAAGCGCGUGUAGGUGGACGGGUAAGUAUCUUGUGAAAUCCCACGGCUCAACCGUGGAACUGCUGGAUAUACUGCUUGUCUUGAGGCACUUAGGGGCAGCUGGAACAAAUGGUGGAGCGGUGAAAUGCGUAGAUAUCAGGAGGAAUACCGAUGGCGAAGGCAGGUCUCUGGGCUGACACUGACGCUCAUGCACGAAAGCGUGGGGAGCAAACAGG